rnacentral:lncRNA from 1 species
UGCAUUCUCAGCCCAUGCUGCUUUAUUGCUAAAAAUAUAUAUAUACACAGGUGCAGAGUUUCCAACUCUUUUAACCGUUCCUUUUUACAUCAAAGAAUUAAAUUUCUUCAGAAACCCCAAAGAUGCAUAGAUUAAGAAGCAAGCUGCCUUCUGUAAUACUUCAAAUAAUAUUCAAUGAAACUCAACAUUAUACACCAAUGGUGCAACAAAGAAUAUGGAGGACAGCAAAUAAACACAGUGAGCAACUCUUAUUCUUACAAGGCAGUAAGUAAAGUAUAAUGUGAAGGACAGUCUAAGAUAAUCUUUCUGGUUUUAAGAGAUGAGUCGGUUUUAUGAUAAGUACCAACACUGUUACUGUUUAAGGAUUGAUGAUAAUGUAUUACCAGAAUACCUUUCUUACCCCUGGGAGAAAUAUGUUUUUUCACUGAUGCAAUGACAUAUCACCAAGGGAGGAAAAAACCUGAAUACUGUCAGUAACUAAGAUACCUAUUCUGACUUUAAAGAUUUAGGACUUCAUGGAAAAAUCUGUGAUGUCUGGUUUCCCAAAAUUAUUUUAAUGUGCCUUAGUGGAAUAAUGAGAGGAAUUUAGAGAAACUCUGUUCUUAAUCUUUACUGGCUGACAGACAUGGUAUCAGUAAUUGGGGAAGAGAAACUAUAUUCAGGAUAUGACAUCUCACUUCAUAUAUUUGAAUGGAAACCAAACAUCACAAUCACAAGAAGUCUAAUUCAAUUCUGAACCACUGAAAAAUUACCAUUCCACUUUAUUCAUUCCCAAAGUUAUCUGUAGCAAAAUCCUACAGGAAAGAAUAUGAAAUAAAGUUUUCAAAACAAAAUUUUUUUCAAUCAUAGAAUGUAAAACCUUGAAUGUGCCCAGUGAAAAUCAUUUAGUUUAAUCUUGAAUUCUAUUUAGGCUUGUUUCAGACAUCAUGAAUGCCAUUUUUACAUCAUUUGUCAUAAUCACUUGUAUUUAUACAAGGGUUAUUUUUAAAAUAAGGAAUUUUCUCAAAGAAAAUUUUAAGCUACUACAGGCCGGGUGCAGUGGCUCACACCUAUAAUCCCGGCACUUUGGGAGGCUAAGGGGGGCGGAUCACAUAAGGCCAGGAGUUCGAGACCAGCCUGGCCAACAUGGCGAAACUCUGUCUCUAUUAAAAAUACCAAAAUUAGCUGAGGGUAGGUGUAUGUUUAUAAUCCCAGCUCCUCGGGAGGUGGAGGUUGCAUGAGUGGAGAUUGCGCCACUGCACUCCAGCCUGGGCGACAGAGCAAGGCUCCGUCUCAAAAAAAAAAAUAAAAAUAAAAAAAUAAAAAAAAAUUUAAGCUACUGCAAUAAAUUUGUUUAUUCAUUAAAUAAAAUAAAUGGCAAGGAUUUUCUUCUUUUAAAGUGGAAACAUUUUCUCCUGUUAAACCUGGCAUUAAAAGCUUUAGGCAAGAAAUUGUAGUCUGGCCAAACCCAUCAAGGAUAAAACUUUGGCUAUAAAAUUUGUUUAAACUGUUUUUUAUGCAAUGAAAUAACAAACUAACCACAGAUCUGUCAGUAUUUU